CAGAGACAAGAUCUCCUUUAAUCAUAGACCAUCUGGACCAUUGUGGCAGAAGUUUCAGUGUGAAAAAAGUAAAGCCAUGGGACUUUAAAGACUGGAGCGUCCAUAUUGAGGUGGGCAAUGACGAAGCUCUCAUGUUCAAAUUGGAAUCUUUUUUAACAAUAAAGAUGGACAGAAUUGUGACUAUUUGGGCUGAAGGCUGUUGUCCACCAGAUGCAGAUAAACGUUAUAAUCAGGAGUGGAAGAACCAGGCCCCAUGGAACACUGGGGAAAUAGCCUUUGUUUCUCUCUAUAACGAAUAUAAUGAGUUGAUGGACAGAAUAUGUGAAUGGAUGUACUUUGAUCCACCAAUAUAAACCAGCUGAUUAUAAUUGACCUG